rnacentral:rRNA from 1 species
AGUGAACGCUGGCGGUAGGCCUAACACAUGCAAGUCGAACGGCAGCACAGUAAGAGCUUGCUCUUACGGGUGGCGAGUGGCGGACGGGUGAGGAAUACAUCGGAAUCUACUUUUUCGUGGGGGAUAACGUAGGGAAACUUACGCUAAUACCGCAUACGACCUACGGGUGAAAGCAGGGGAUCUUCGGACCUUGCGCGAUUGAAUGAGCCGAUGUCGGAUUAGCUAGUUGGCAGGGUAAAGGCCCACCAAGGCGACGAUCCGUAGCUGGUCUGAGAGGAUGAUCGGCCACACUGGAACUGAGACACGGUCCAGACUCCUACGGGAGGCAGCAGUAGGGAAUAUUGGACAAUGGGCGCAAGCCUGACCCAGCCAUGCCGCGUGAGUGAAGAAGGUCUUCGGGUUGUAAAGCCCUUUUGUUAGGAAAGAAAAGCAGCAGGUGAAUACCCCGCUGUUCUGACGGUACCCAAAGAGUAAGCACCGGCUAACUUCGUG